rnacentral:rRNA from 1 species
CUACGGGUCGCAGCAGUGGGGAAUAUUGCACAAUGGGCGCAAGCCUGAUGCAGCAACGCCGCGUGAGGGAUGAAGGCCUUCGGGUUGUAAACCUCUUUUAGCAGGGAAGAAGCGAAAGUGACGGUACCUGCAGAAAAAGCACCGGCUAACUACGUGCCAGCAGCCGCGGUAAUACGUAGGGUGCAAGCGUUGUCCGGAAUUAUUGGGCGUAAAGAGCUCGUAGGCGGUUUGUCACGUCUGCUGUGAAAAUCCAAGGCUCAACCUUGGACUUGCAGUGGGUACGGGCAGGCUAGAGUGCGGUAGGGGAGAUGGGAAUUCCUGGUGUAGCUGUGGUAUGCGCAGAUAUCAGGAGGAACACCAAUGGCGAAGGCACAUCUCUGGGCCGUAACUGACGCUGAGGAGCGAAAGCGUGGGGAGCGAACAGGAUUAGAUACCCCAGUAGUC